rnacentral:snRNA from 1 species
CGGAGGACAUUGUCAGGUGGGGAGUUUGGC